rnacentral:rRNA from 1 species
UUAGGAAUUUUGGGCAAUGGCCGCAAGGCUGACCCAGCAACGCCGCGUGGGGGACGAAGGCCUUCGGGUUGUAAACCCCUUUUCCCAGGGACGAUGAUGACGGUACCUGGGGAAUCAGCCCCGGCUAACUACGUGCCAGCAGCCGCGGUAAUACGUAGGGGGCGAGCGUUGUCCGGAUUUAUUGGGCGUAAAGCGCGGGCAGGCGGCCCCGUAAGUCGGCCGUGAAAGCGCCGGGCUCAACUCGGCGAGGACGGGCGAGACUGCAGGGCUUGAGAGAGGUAGAGGGCGGUGGAAUUCCGGGUGUAGUGGUGGAAUGCGUAGAGCUCCGGAGGAACACCAGUGGCGAAGGCGGCCGCCUGGGCCUUUUCUGACGCUGAGCCGCGAAAGCGUGGGGAGCGAGCCG